UGCAGUUAAAGCUCGUAGUUGGAUUUUGGUUAAGAGGGCGCGGUCGGCCGUUUGGUCUGUACUGCGUUGUCUUGACUUCCUGAUGAGGACAUGCUCUUGGUUAACGCUGAGACAUGGAGUCAUCGUGGUUACUUUGAAAAAAUUAGAGUGUUCAAAGCGGGCUUACGCUUGAAUAUAUUAGCAUGGAAUAACACUAUAGGACUCCUGUCCUAUCUCGUUGGUCUCGGGAUGGGAGUAAUGAUUAAGAGGAACAGUUGGGGGCAUUCGUAUUUCAUUGUCAGAGGUGAAAUUCUUGGAUUUAUGAAAGACGAACUUCUGCGAAAGCAUUUGCCAAGGAUGUUUUCAUUAAUCAAGAACGAAAGUUGGGGGCUCGAAGAUGAUUAGAUACCAUCCUAGUCUCAACCAUAAACGAUGCCGACUAGGGAUUGGUGGAUGUUAAUUGAUGACUUCACCAGCACCUUAUGAGAAAUCAAAGUUUUUGGGUUCCGGGGGGAGUAUGGUCGCAAGGCUGAAACUUAAAGGAAUUGACGGAAGGGCACCACCAGGCGUGGAGCCUGCGGCUUAAUUUGACUCAACACGGGGAAACUUACCAGGUCCAGACAUAAGUAUGAUUGACAGAUUGAGAGCUCUUUCUUGAUUCUAUG
rnacentral:rRNA from 1 species